rnacentral:rRNA from 1 species
UACGUAGGGUCCAAGCGUUAAUCGGAAUUACUGGGCGUAAAGCGUGCGUAGGCGGUUUCGCAAGUCCGAUGUGAAAUCCUUGGGCUUAACCUGGGAACUGCGUUGGAAACUACGAAGCUAGAGUGCGGCAGAGGGGGGUGGAAUUCCAGGUGUAGCAGUGAAAUGCGUAGAGAUCUGGAGGAACAUCGAUGGCGAAGGCAGCCCUCUGGGCUAGCACUGAUGCUCAUACACGAAAGCGUGGGGAGCAAACAGG